rnacentral:rRNA from 1 species
UACGUAGGGUGCAAGCGUUGUCCGGAAUUACUGGGCGUAAAGAGUUCGUAGGCGGUUUGUCGCGUCGUUUGUGAAAACCAGCAGCUCAACUGCUGGCUUGCAGGCGAUACGGGCAGACUUGAGUACUGCAGGGGAGACUGGAAUUCCUGGUGUAGCGGUGAAAUGCGGAGAUAUCAGGAGGAACACCGGUGGCGAAGGCGGGUCUCUGGGCAGUAACUGACGCUGAGGAACGAAAGCGUGGGUAGCGAACAGG